UACGUAGGGUGCGAGCGUUGUCCGGAAUUAUUGGGCGUAAAGGGCUCGUAGGCGGUUUGUCGCGUCGGGAGUGAAAACCCAGGGCUUAACUCUGGGCUUGCUUUCGAUACGGGCAGACUAGAGGUAUGCAGGGGAGAACGGAAUUCCUGGUGUAGCGGUGAAAUGCGCAGAUAUCAGGAGGAACACCGGUGGCGAAGGCGGUUCUCUGGGCAUUACCUGACGCUGAGGAGCGAAGGCCAGGGGAGCAAACGGG
rnacentral:rRNA from 1 species